rnacentral:rRNA from 1 species
GCAGCAGGCGCGCAAAUUACCCACUCCCGGCACGGGGAGGUAGUGACGAAAAAUAACGAUACGGGACUCAUCCGAGGCCCCGUAAUCGGAAUGAGAACACUCUAAACCCUUUAACGAGGAUCAAUUGGAGGGCAAGUCUGGUGCCAGCAGCCGCGGUAAUUCCAGCUCCAAUAGCGUAUAUUAAAGUUGUUGCGGUUAAAAAGCUCGUAGUCGAAUUUGUGUCUCGCGCCGACGGUUCAUCGUUCGCGGUGUCAACUGGCGAGUCGCGAGACGUCCUGCCGGCGGGCUUAGCUCGCAAGAGCGGUCCAACUCAAUCCCGCCGCGGUGCUCUUCACUGAGUGUCGAGGUGGGCCGGCACGUUUACUUUGAACAAAUUAGAGUGCUUAAAGCAGGCUAAAACUUCGCCUGAAUACUGUGUGCAUGGAAUAAUGAAACAGGACCUCGGUUCCAUUUUGUUGGUUUUCGGAACCCCGAGGUAAUGAUUAACAGGAACGGAUGGGGGCAUUCGUAUUGCGACGUUAGAGGUGAAAUUCUUGGAUCGUCGCAAGACGGACAGAAGCGAAAGCAUUUGCCAAAAACGUUUUCAUUGAUCAAGAACGAAAGUUAGAGGUUCGAAGGCGAUCAGAUACCGCCCUAGUUCUAACCAUAAACGAUGCCAGCUAGCGAUCCGCCGACGUUCCUCCGAUGACUCGGCGGGCAGCUUCCGGGAAACCAAAGCUUUUGGGUUCCGGGGGAAGUAUGGUUGCAAAGCUGAAACUUAAAGGAAUUGACGGAAGGGCACCACAAGGAGUGGAGCCUGCGGCUUAAUUUGACUCAACACGGGAAACCUCACCAGGCCCGGACACCGGAAGGAUUGACAGAUUGAGAGCUCUUUCUUGAUUCGGUGGGUGGUGGUGCAUGGCCGU